rnacentral:rRNA from 1 species
GGUGGAUUGAUUUGUCUGGUUUAUUCCGAUAACGAACGAGACUCUAUCCUACUAAAUAGUUUCACGAUUUUCAAGUCAUGUAGACUUCUUAGAGGGAUAAGCGGUGUUUAACCGCACGAGAUUGAGCGAUAACAGGUCUGUGAUGCCCUUAGAUGUCCGGGGCUGCACGCGCGCUACACUGGCAAAAUCAACGUGCUUGUCCUACCCUGAAAGGGGCGGGUAAACCAUUGAAAAUUUGCCGUGAUUGGGAUCGGAAAUUGCAAUUAUUUUCCGUGAACGAGGAAUUCCAAGUAAGUGCGAGUCAUCAGCUCGCGUUGAAUACGUCCCUGCCCUUUGUAC